rnacentral:rRNA from 1 species
UGCGCAGGUGGUCGGGUAAGUCUGAUGUGAAAUCCCGCAGCUUAACUGCGGAACGGCAUUGGAUACUACUCGGCUAGAGGGUUGGAGGGGGGACUGGAAUUCUCGGUGUAGCAGUGAAAUGCGUAGAUAUCGAGAGGAACACCAGUGGCGAAGGCGAGUCCCUGGACAACUCCUGACGCUGAGGCACGAAAGCUGGGAGCAAACA